rnacentral:miRNA from 14 species
CAUGUAUGUAUAUGUCUGUGUGUAUGUCCAUGUUUGUAUAUGAAUACACAUACAUACACACAUAUACACACACCGAAGAAUAGACA